CAUUGUUGUAGAACUUUGUGUAUAGAUCACCUGAGUAAAUCUAAUAAAUGGUGUUUACAAUAUGCAAAAAUCCACAUGUGUUUGUAAUUAGUACUAAGAAGUAAAAAGCUAAGAUUGUAUUUUAAGAUCCUGAAAAAUUCUGUCUUUAAAUUAUCAUAAUCCAUAUGCUGAUAAACUCAUAUGGUUCCUUAUAAUUUAACAAAUAGUAACAUUCUAUUUGUCGAUUGUCUCAAUCAUAGUGUAUGAAGAACAUAUUCCAUAGACUAACCCUGUUGAUUGAAGUUGUCAUGAACUAACAAUCCUAUCACUUUAAAUAGCUUAAAAUUGCUUUACUGAGAUUGUGAUACUGUACUAUGA